AGCCAAUCAAUUGCCUUCCCUCCACAUAAAACCCCAAGACCUGAACACCUGGGCGUGACUUCUUUGGCCUCUUCCUGGACCACAGAACUUCGCCUGGGAGCUGAAUAAAUUAGUUUCUCAUUUUCUUAUACUUGCCUCAGUUUCCUCAUCUUACCUCGGCAAUAAAUCUUACACUGCCAAGCUCUUU